GAUGAACGCUGGCGGCGUGCUUAACACAUGCAAGUCGAGCGAAGCACUUAAGUUUGAUUCUUGGAUGAAGACUUUUGUGACUGAGCGGCGGACGGGUGAGUAACGCGUGGGUAACCUGCCUCAUACAGGGGGAUAACAGUUAGAAAUGACUGCUAAUACCGCAUAAGACCACGGUACCGCAUGGUACAGUGGUAAAAACUCCGGUGGUAUGAGAUGGACCCGCGUCUGAUUAGCUGGUUGGUGGGGUAACGGCCCGACCAAGGCGACGAUCAGUAGCCGACCUGAGAGGGUGAUCGGCCACAUUGGAACUGAGACACGGUCCAGACUCCUACGGGAGGCAGCAGUGGGGAAUAUUGGGCAAUGGACGCAAGUCUGACCGGCGAACGCCGCGUGAAGGAAGAAGGC
rnacentral:rRNA from 1 species